GAUGAACGCUGGCGGCGUGCCUAAUACAUGCAAGUCGAGCGAACAGACGAGGAUCUUGCUCCUCUGACGUUAGCGGCGGACGGGUGAGUAACACGUGGAUAACCUACCUAUAAGACUGGGAUAACUUCGGGAAACCGGAGCUAAUACCGGAUAAUAUAUUCACCCGCAUGGUUCAAUAGUGAAAGACGGUUUUGCUGUCACUUAUAGAUGGAUCCGCGCCGCAUUAGCUAGUUGGUAAGGUAACGGCUUACCAAGGCAACGAUGCGUAGCCGACCUGAGAGGGUGAUCGGCCACACUGGAACUGAGACACGGCCCAGACUCCUACGGGAGGCAGCAGUAGGGAAUCCUCCGGAAUGGGCGAAAGCCUGACGGAGCAACGCCGCGUGAGUGAUGAAGGUCUUCGGAUCGUAAAACUCUGUUAUAAGGGAAGAACAAAUGUGUAAGUAGCUAUGCACGUAUUGACGGUACCUAAUCAGAAAGCCACGGCUAACUACGUG
rnacentral:rRNA from 1 species